rnacentral:rRNA from 1 species
AUUGAACGCUGGCGGCAGGCCUAACACAUGCAAGUCGAACGAGUGGCGGACGGGUGAGUAAUGUCUGGGAACCUGCCUGAUGGAGGGGGAUAACUACUGGAAACGGUAGCUAAUACCGCAUACCAUCGGAUGUGCCCAGGUGGGAUUAUCUAGUAGGUGGGGUAAAGGCUCACCUAGGCGACGAUCCCUAGCUGGUCUGAGAUGAUGACCAGCCACACUGGAACUGAGACACGGUCCAGACUCCUACGGGAGGCAGCAGUGGGGAAGAUUGCACAAUGGGCGCAAGCCUGAUGCAGCCAUGCCGCGUGUAUGAAGAAGGCCGUCGGGUUGUAAAGUACUUUCAGCGGGGAGGCGUUACCCGCAGAAGAAGCACCGGCUAACUCCGUGCCAGCAGCCGCGGUAAUUC